UACGUAGGGGGCUAGCGUUGUCCGGAAUUAUUGGGCGUAAAGCGCCCGCAGGCGGUCCUUUAAGUCUGAUGUGAAAGCCCACGGCUCAACCGUGGAGGGUCAUUGGAAACUGGGGGACUUGAGUACAGAAGAGAAGAGUGGAAUUCCACGUGUAGCGGUGAAAUGCGUAGAGAUGUGGAGGAACACCAGUGGCGAAGGCGACUCUUUGGUCUGUAACUGACGCUGAGGCGCGAAAGCGUGGGGAGCAAACAGG
rnacentral:rRNA from 1 species